UAAUACGUAUGGUGCAAGCGUUGCUCGGAAUUACUGGGCGUAAAGGGUGCGUAGGCGGUUAUGCAAGUCUGUUGUGAAAUACUGUGGCUCAACUGCAGUGCUGCGACAGAAACUGUAUAGCUAGAGUCUCGGAGGGGCAGAUGGAAUUCCCGGUGUAGCGGUGAAAUGCACAGAUAUCGGGAGGAACACCGAUGGCGAAGGCAGUCUGCUGGACGGAGACUGACGCUGAGGCACGAAAGCGUGGGGAGCAAACAGGAUUAGAUACCCUGGUAGUCCACGCCCUAAACGUUGUCAACUAGGCGUAGGGGAGAUUUAAGGGCUCUUCUGUGCCGGAGCUAACGCGAUAAGUUGACCGCCUGGGGACUACGCUCGCAAGAGUG
rnacentral:rRNA from 1 species